ACUCCUACGGGAGGCAGCAGUGGGGAAUAUUGGACAAUGGGGGAAACCCUGAUCCAGCAAUGCCGCGUGUGUGAAGAAGGCCUGAGGGUUGUAAAGCACUUUCAACUGUGAGGAUUGGGAUUUUGGUUAAUACCCGAGAUCCUUGACGUUAGCAGUAGAAGAAGCACCGGCUAACUCCGUGCCAGCAGCCGCGGUAAUACGGAGGGUGCGAGCGUUAAUCGGAAUUACUGGGCGUAAAGCGCAUGCAGGCGGCCUGUUAAGUCAGAUGUGAAAGCCCGGGGCUUAACCUCGGAAUUGCAUUUGAAACUGGCAGGCUAGAGUCUUGUAGAGGGGGGUAGAAUUUCAGGUGUAGCGGUGAAAUGCGUAGAGAUCUGAAGGAAUACCAGUGGCGAAGGCGGCCCCCUGGACAAAGACUGACGCUCAGAUGCGAAAGCGUGGGGAGCAAACAGGAUUAGAUACCCUGGUAGGAUAG
rnacentral:rRNA from 1 species